rnacentral:rRNA from 1 species
AGAUUUUAGUUAUCUACUUGGAUAACUGUGGUAAUUCUAGAGCUAAUACAUGCACAAAAGCUCGGACCUUACGGAAAGAGCGCAUUUAUUAGAACAAAACCAAUCGGUCGCACGUUUCGGCGUCGGCCGGCAAAUUGGUGACUCUGAAUAACUAAGUUGAUCGCACAGUCUUAGAACUGGCGACGUAUCUUUCAAAUAUCUGCCUUAUCAACUUUCGAUGGUAGGUUAUACGCCUACCAUGGUUAUAACGGGUAACGGAGAAUAAGGGUUCGACUCCGGAGAGGGAGCCUGAGAAAUGGCUACCACAUCCAAGGAAGGCAGCAGGCGCGCAAAUUACCCAAUCCCAGUACGGGGAGGUAGUGACGAAAAAUAACGAGAUAGUCCACUAUGUGGCCUGUCAUCGGAAUGGGUACAAUUUAAAUCUUUUAACGAGGAUCUAUUAGAGGGCAAGUCUGGUGCCAGCAGCCGCGGUAAUUCCAGCUCUAAUAGCGUAUAUUAAAGUUGUUGUGGUUAAAACGCCCGUAGUUGAUUUUUCGACUUUGGAGCGUGGUAUCUCGAAAGAGUUUUCACUGCGUCUUCAAGUCUGAAUUUAAGUUUUCUAUGGAUGCUCUUUAUUGAGUGUCCUUAGUGACUUGAACGUUUACUUUGAAAAAAUUAGAGUGCUUAAAGCAAGCUUUACGCUUGAAUAAAGUGCAUGGGAUAAUGGAAUAGGACUUUAGUCUUAUUUUGUUGGUUUUCGAGAUUAAAGUAAUGAUUAAGAGGAAUAGACGGGGGCAUUCGUAUUGUUGCGUUAGAGGUGAAAUUCUUGGAUCGCAGCAAGACGAACAACUGCGAAAGCAUUUGCCAAGAAUGUUUUCAUUAAUCAAGGACGAAAGUUAGAGGUUCGAAGGCGAUCAGAUACCGCCCUAGUUCUAACCGUAAACGAUGCCAACUGGCCAUUCGCCGGUGUUAAUAAAUGACUCGGCGGGCAGCCUCCGGGAAACCAAAGUGGUCUGGUUCCGGGGGGAGUAUGGUUGCAAAGCUGAAACUUAAAGGAAUUGACGGAAGGGCACCACCAGGAGUGGAGCCUGCGGUUUAAUUGACUCAACACGGG